rnacentral:rRNA from 1 species
GAUGAACGCUAGCGGCAGGCCUAAUACAUGCAAGUCGUACGGCAACACAGUUGCGAGCAAUCGCAACCGGUGGCGAGUGGCGCACGGGCGAGUAACGCGUAUGUAACCUACCCUUCUCCGGGACAUAACUCCGCGAAAGCGGUGCUAAUAUCCCAUACCAACUCAUCAAGACAUCUUCUUGAGUUGAAAGCAGCAAUGCGGUGAAGGAUGGGCAUGCGUCCCAUUAGCUGGUUGGUGAGGUAAUGGCCCACCAAGGCUACGAUGGGUAGGGGUUCUGAGAGGAAAGCCCCCCACACUGGUACUGAGACACGGACCAGACUCCUACGGGAGGCAGCAGUAAGGAAUAUUGGGCAAUGGUCGAAAGACUGACCCAGCCAUGCCGCGUGCAGGAUGAAGGCCCUAUGGGUUGUAAACUGCUUUUAGCCGGGAAUAAACACCCGUUUUAUAACGGGCCCGAAGGUACCGGCUGAAUAAGCAUCGGCUAACUCCGUG